rnacentral:rRNA from 1 species
AGAGCGAACGCUGGCGGCAGGCCUAAUACAUGCAAGUCGAGCGGUCCCUUCGGGGGCAGCGGCGGACGGGUGAGUAACGCGUGGGAACGUGCCCUUUGGUACGGAACAACUGAGGGAAACUUCAGCUAAUACCGUAUGUGCCCUUCGGGGGAAAGAUUUAUCGCCAUUGGAGCGGCCCGCGUUGGAUUAGGUAGUUGGUGAGGUAAAGGCUCACCAAGCCUACGAUCCAUAGCUGGUCUGAGAGGAUGAUCAGCCACACUGGGACUGAGACACGGCCCAGACUCCUACGGGAGGCAGCAGUAGGGAAUCUUGCGCAAUGGGCGAAAGCCUGACGCAGCCAUGCCGCGUGAAUGAUGAAGGUCUUAGGAUUGUAAAAUUCUUUCACCGGGGACGAUAAUGACGGUACCCGAGAAGAAGCCCCGGCUAACUUCGUGCCAGCAGCCGC